GAAAUGGAAGACGAAGAAAAGAAAAAGAAGAGGGAGAGGUGUAAAGGGGAAGGGUGUCACAAAUUGUUGGGAUUUUCGUGGGAAUUUCAUCAUUUUUUUGGGAAUUUUCAUGGGAAUUUGGCCUUUUACAAAUUCCCAAAAUUCCCAACUUUUU
rnacentral:ribozyme from 14 species